GAUGCUUUGUAUUAAUGCAUUUAGGAAGUCUGACCUAAUUUUAUAAUUGACUAAGCAAGUAAAUUUUGUUAUUUCAGCUUCCGUGGAUGAACUAAAGCUUCAUAUGAUUAAAUUGCAUGCAUUCACCUAAGAAAGUGGUGAUAAUGUGGAUUAAAUUUCUGGAUAAAUGGAUUCCUUCGGAAUUUUCGUUGAUCUAAGGAAGUUUAAGUCAAGACAUCCAAUACUUAUGGUAUAAAAUGUGGCAGCAUUUAAUUAUGGUGUAAACGACGUUUUAAGGAAUGCAAGAACAAGGGAGGCAUUUACGGUCCAGUUCUGCUUUAAACCACGCUAAGACAAUGAUCCUUGCUCAUAUCGGUGCUUAUUUUGAUGGAUUCAAAAAUGUUAUAUGAACGUUAAUAAAGAAAAUUUUAGAGAAACUUAAAAA